GCAUGCUUGUCUAAGGUUGCAUGUUUUGUUACGGCUAUGCUCUACCACCACAUCAUGACCCUAGCAUGUAUGCUGCAGCUUCGGCUGCAUAUGGAGCUUAUCCGGUGUAUGGCACCCACCAACAACAAGUAAGCUGAGACAGCAGCUCCUGUGCACGGUAGCAACCUACCAACAGCGAGGGAACCGAGUAAGCUGCAUAAGUAGUUUAGAAAUCAGACUCAAUGGAUCUAUAAUUUGCUCGGUUCUCUAGAAUUCUUAUAAAUCCCUCUAAUUCUGGAGUGGAACUGAAUUUUGAUAACUUGAGGUAGUUAUGCAAGGAUUUCAUUGAUCAUUUCUUUAGAUUUACGUAAUUUUUAGGGAAACUAUUAUUCGAUCAGUACAGGGCCUCCGUGAAUUGAAAAUGUGCGAGAUAAUCUUUAGCAUGCUAGUGCAAAGUUGCACUUGUGUUAUGUUCUACACCGGGCUGCA
rnacentral:sRNA from 1 species